AUUUCACAGCUAUUCUGUUGGAUGUAAUGGGAAACUCCACCAGUUACCUGCAAGAACUAUUUAAGUCCAGCUCUAUCCUCUCAGUCAGUCAGAAGAACAGCUCUGAUUGCAUCUAUAUCUGUGUCAUGGCUGGAAAGUCAGACAGUGAUCUGUCUCAGCUCUGGGACAUGGGCUCAGUCAGACCUCUGUUUAAUCAGACCAUCACAGAGGAAAUACCCAGAGGUAAUAUGACAUUUCCAUUGCUGCCCUUUGUAGUGUGGCAUGACCUCCCAAACACUAGUGAACUGGUACUAUGGCCUAAACCCAGUACAGAUUCCCACAGGAGCAGAGUACCUACCUCUACAAUAGCAUCAACACCACUUAUUAGAUCAACAGCAGCUCCUGAAACUACCUUCACUGUGACGACCACCACAACCUCACCCACUAGUGAUCUCACAACUGCUGUGAUCACCCAGCCAAAAGCUGUAACGGUAACCACAAAUGCCAUCACUCCAAUGAUGACCAUGACAGUUUCACCGCCAACGCAGAGACAAACAACUACGACAGGCAUCCAGCUGCUCACUAAAGUAUCUCAUACAGAAAAACCAGGAUGUCCAUGGAGAAUAGAGCUAUUUCAUCAAGCAAGUGAGAAUGAGGACCUGAAAGAGACCCUUGAAGAGGAGCUGAUCUGGGGCAGGGCGACCAUCAGCUCAGUGAAGCUGCAGCCGUGUGUGUUUGAGCUGUGCAAGUUUUACUCUCAGUGUGUGUGCAGAGGAUUCAGUCACAGAGCAGCAGAGUUACAGCGAUAUUGUGUGGAUAGCCAUCGCUGGUAUGAGAGACAUACAGCAGAGGUCUGCAGUCGUAUGAGGAGAGUCACUUUUUCCAAAAAUCUGAAACAGAAAUGUCUGGCAAGAAUGUGUGUGAAGAUGUAAGACAAGAACUGAGUUCAUUUGCGGGGUGACAGACAUCUGAACCACCUGAAUUGAAAUUCAUGUACAGUAUGUUUGAGAGAAACUGGGUUCUGUUAAAUACUGAACUGCAUUGUCUUCAUUGAAUCUGUAUAGUCUAUGCAUCUAGUGUCUAAAUUGCACUUCUGAAUAUAAAUAAAACCAAACAUAUUUACCCA
ensembl:lncRNA